rnacentral:other from 1 species
UACAUCCUGAGUUGUGCGUGUGAUUAUCAUGGUUUUGAUCCUAUUUAGUGACACGGGAGCUGAAUGUUAGGUUAGUACAACAAGCCCUUUCGAGGGGAAGUUGGAAAGCUUAAACUAGGUGCCCACCUGCGAGAGCGGGGUCAGAAACCUGAAGUCAUACGGCAAGUUGGGGGAGGG